rnacentral:lncRNA from 1 species
GCUCGCCCGCUGCAACCUUGGGCUUGCGCAGGCUGCCGCCCAGCCGGAGCGAAGGGAGGACGCCGGAUGCCUACGUCGCCGCGGUCGUGCCGUUUCUAGGGUUUGAAAUGCUUUUUUUUUCUGACGUGUGGGUUCGAAAUGUAUGCGACUCUCUGCACUGCAGGGCUGACGAUUUCAGAAUUGAGUUUAAGGACAAACUGGGUCACUGGGCUAUAUCGGAGUGGGCUAGUCCUCAUCUUGAGCUGUAUGCUUGAAUAGUCCGGCAUACCUACAAUUUUUUUAGAUAUUCAAAAAAAUACUUACCCUUUUUUCUUCUAAAAAAAACUUCCAUUUUUUCUCCCUCAAAAAGAAAAACCUUACAUUUUUUUUCUUGAAAGAUCUACUCCCUCUGUAAACUAAUAAGACUCAUUUUAGAUCACUACUUUAGUGACCUAAAGCGUCUUAUAUUAGUUUACAGAGAGAGUACAUAUACUAUUAUUUUUUUGGGCUAAAACAAGGAUAUUUUUGGGGUAUUCUCGCCGCAUUAACUCUAUUUUUUAGAAGGACUAGUAAGCAUGCACGUGCAACGCACGUCUCUGCAAUGACGUGUCGGUGGGACGACUUCAAAAGUGAAGUAUGCAAGGCUUGUUCGAGCAGUAGAUGUCGGGGCGGCGGUCCUGAGAGCUUUGCAAGUUCGACGACAUGGACCUUGUAUUGUGUAGGUUGCAACCACUGCAGGCAUGUGGAAUGAUUCUUUUUUUCGCCGCGGGAGAGUGCCUCAUGACUUCUUCCAGCAAUGAUGGAAAAGCGGCUUGUUCGAUAGAGCGAGUGCCCCAGCUAGUGUGUUUGGUUGGCUUUUGUUGUGGCAUUCGGCACGCUAUCAAGUGUGGGCUCAGUCCUGUGUUUUUACAGUGUUCUAGACUGGGCUUGGCCCUUUUGUUUUGGUUUUCUCACUUUUUUGUGAUUAACUGGACAAUCUUCUCCUUAAUGAAUGAAACGACAAAAGCUUUUUUGCUUCGUGUAUGAAUUGAUUUUUACUCAACUAAAAUUCAAAUAGAUAUAAUAUGUUUUUUAUGUAAAGAAGGCAUGCCAAUCACAAAGGAUAACACUCAUGUCUGCUUUGAAAAUGCACACAACAUAGAAUCAAAUUUAAGAAGGCCGAGAACCUCAAAUCGCUUUGAUCGCUCAUAGGUAGCUCUAUUAUACUGUUUUUUAAUUUGAAUAGGUAAUGUGUCUGCGUUGCCACGGCAGCCAAAAAAUAUAUGAAAUGACAUUUGAUCAAAAGAUUCUUUUGUUUUACAAACACAUACUCUAUAUCACACAAACUGGCGUACGCCUUUUCUUACUCUUGAGUCGCCCAUUCAUGCUUUUAGCGCCACAUUCAAUCCACCAUGCAGACAUUGGCAAUUUGGCAUCAAGCCACCAAUCCACCAAGACAACACGUACAGACUCACCUUCUUUUGGCUAGAAGAUGCUUUGUUCUCGAUGCGCCCUCCUUGCCAUAUUUAUCUUCUAGUGAGCAGAUCAAGGUCUUCUUAUUGAAGAAGCCACAUGUGCUUGUGUGGACCUGCACCAAGAGACAAUGACAGUGAUGAUUAGGCUGGGAACUUGGGAAGACAACGACAUACAAUUGAUGGGAUUGCCGAUUGUGAAGCUUCAGCCCACAGUGGCUGCUCUUUUUCAUAAAAGAGGUGACCAAUAAUUACCUUCCUACUUGGAUCCUCAGAUGUCCUUAGAAGGUGCGAGAGAAAUAAUAGCUGGAGCUAAGAAAGAUAGGAAGACGAUGGCUACCGGAUCAACUCGAAGAUAUGAUGAUAGAGAUGCAUUUGCGAAGCAGAAACUACAUGCAAUCGAAUUUAUGCAAAAAGCAACACUAAGCAGCAGUAGCAUGUUAUCAAGAUUUCUUGUGCUGACACAAGUGUGACUAACACUGUAAGAAGGUUUGGAUAUUCUUUGGUUUAGAUUUCAGAAACUUAAACGGUAUAUAAUUCCAUCACUACUUCAUGAUGCUCUCUAGUCAUUCUUUGACUGUACCUAUCUGUUAUAAAAUGCAAGAACUACGACUCUCUUACAAUGAUUAAGUACAUACCUUGAUACUCCCUGGUUCUCAGCGAAGCCAAUGUCCAAUCUAACAUGAUCAGUGCAUCGCUUUUGGCCUUUUGCAGCAUUAACGUGUGCACGGAACAUGAACAAGCUGGCAUGUGUCUUGCACAAUUCAUCUGACCGUCGUCACAAACAGAGCACAUCUAGCCUGUGUGCUACUUAUCUUGCACUCGCCUGCAAACUUACAUACCCUCACAAACGCAUGCGAUAUUAAUUAGAAACAUAACCUGAUGCUCCAGCUCCAUGACUGUGUAGCACGACCUGAUUAUGACCAUUGUGUAAGGAAGGAUUAGGGACAAUUCUAGUACACAAAUCAAAAGUCCCCAUUUUCUCUUCUUAUCAAAGAGAGGAAACACAAACCAAUCUUCAAUCUAGGAGAACAAUCCCCAAAUUAGCGACAAAAUCGGCGACCCAAUCAGAGGAUCACAACAACGAAGAACGAAAUAACCAAACUGAGAAUAUAUGUAAUCAUGUUGUAGAAAGUACAAUGUACAGAAACAUUGCCAUGCCAACGCUUAAUUCUUCUUUGCAUAUUCCCAAACUAUCUCUUCACGAACAGUAUUAGCAACACCAUAUCAGAGUUGCCAACAUAAACUCUAAAGGUUUUAACUUAGUCCUCACAUGUUCCAACCAUUGUAGUUUCUAAAGAAUAGUGUACUAAUGCUCAAUAAACUAAUAUGUUAGAAAUCAACAAAGAAAAAUCAACUUGUUAAAUAUUAAAGUACAUUCUAGUUUGAACAAUGAAAUUGUUACUGAAUUCGAUUGUUCUAGCAACUCAUAGUUCAAACUCCUAACAUUACUAACCUUAUUCUCCAUGCAUAACCAGCCUUGAUGUAAUGUAUUGGUGAUGUAUGAUCAUCAUUAAUUUUUUUUGGAUUUACCAAACACCACAUUAUAGAACAAAAUAGCUCCCCAUCCGCGUACAAUAUUAUCAACUGUCACAGAAUGGAAAGCAGAAAAAUAUUUGGCACCUGAGAAUGAUGAGGUAGCAACUCAGGAAAUAACAAGGGUGACUUUAGAGCCAUAAGGUAAGCCACAAGCCUUGACGGCUAGUACUAUAUCACAUGGAAAUCAAUACAUUUUGCUGUACUUCCUCAUAAGAUAGACAGACCUCCGAUCAUGCAUCUGGAUUACAUAUGUAAGUAGCAAGAAAACUAAUCCCAUAUCCUAUCCCAUGCUAUGGGAUGUACUGAGUAGUAAUGGAAAUAGAAGGUGUAACAGUAAAUGCAAAUGCAGCAGGAGUUGUAGUAAUGGUGCAGGAUCAAAGGAAAUAAAAAAAAGGCUUCUGUCGGAACGGAAGGAUCAAAUAUCAGAACUAUGUAUAAAUCCCAUUGCGGAAACUACUCUGCAUAGAAGCAUUACCAUUCCAGCACUUAAUUAUCCGAUCACUAAUUCUGCAUUUGAAUCUCUCACAUCAUAGUCUCCCAGAAAAGAAAAGUAAUGGUGACCUCAAACCUUGAGAACUUGAAUAUAGAUAAAAAGGUGUGUGGGGAUACAUUAAUCACUCAAUCAUCAUAUAUAAAAGAGCAUUGGUAUUAAUCUGUAGAAACAUAAAGCCAAAGAAAUCAGCAAGAAAAUCACCUUCAUUGUCCAUAUCCUCGGUGUCCGGAUGAAUAGACUAUGCAGAGCAACCAGGAGCUACCCAUAUCAUUGGUGUACGAAUGAAUAGAUUGUGGAAAGCAACCAAGAACUGACCAUCCUUGGUGUUCGAAUGGAUUCAAAUUUAGAAGAUCCCGGUGCGAGCUUCCGCUAAAACCAAAUGACAGAGGAUGAUGAAGAUGGAGAAUGAAUACACUGGUGAUUCUCAUUGAUGCCCACGAAGGGGUUAAUAUACAGGUACAGAGGCUGGUAACAACCCAGCUAUACAGGAGGUCAUGCACAUCGUGUAACAGAAAAGGAGGGCACGUCCGGUGCAUGAACUACGUGGGACUCGGUCCUCUAGUUGAGCCAGCAACGGUAGUCUUCCAACAGCCCCCCGCAGCCACAACGGGGUCGUCGAGCACGUUGAGGCUGGACCGGAAGUCGAGGAAGACGGUCGAUGGCAGCCCCUUCGUGAAGAUAUCAGCGAACUGCGACGCGGACGGGACGUGAAGGACUCGUACAUCGCCGAAAGCAACCCGCUCACGCACGAAAUGAAGGUCGAUCUCAAUGUGCUUCGUGCGCUGAUGCUGCACGGGGUUGGUGGAGAGGUACAUGGCGCUCACGUUGUCGCAGUAGACGAUCGUUGCCCGAUCCGGAGGACGCCGCAGUUCGUGCAGAAGUUGACGCAGCCAGCACGCCUCGGCCACAGCAUUGGCCACCGCCCUGUAUUCCGCCUCCGCGCUGGACCGGGAGACGGUCUGUUGCCGCUUGGAGGACCAAGAGACGAGAUUGUCGCCGAUGAAGAUGCAGUAGCCCGACGUGGACUUGCGGGUGUCAGGACAACCCGCCCAGUCGGCGUCAGAGUAUGCGACGAGGUGGUGGUCGGAGGAGCGCCGGAGGUGAAGGCCCAGCUGCGGUGUGUCGCGGAUGUAGCGCAAGAUGCGCUUGAGGACGGUGAAGUGCGGCUCCCGGGGAUCAUGCAUGAAGAGGCAGACCUGUUGGACGGCGUAAGUGAUAUCGGGUCGGGUGAGAGUGAGACAUUGGAGGGUGCCGGCCAAACAGCGGUAGAGGGACGGGUCAGAGACAGGAGCACCGUCGGUGGCGGAAAGUUUUGCGCGAGUGUCGAUGGGGGUGGCGAUGGGCUUGCAAUUGCUCAUGGGGGCGCGCUCAAGUAUCUCGAGAGCGUAUUGGUGUUGCGAGAGGAACAAGCCGCGGGAGCUGCGGGUGACAUUGAUCCCCAGGAAAUGAUGGAGCUCGCCGAGGUCAGUCAUGGAAACCUCGUUGUGGAGUUGCGAGAUGACGUGGUGGAGCAGGGAGGCGGAGCUGGCAGUGAGGAUAAUGUCGUCGACGUAUAAUAGGAGAUAAGCGGUGGCGCCGUCGCGGUGAAGAAUGAAGAGGGAGGUGUCACUCUUGGAGGCAACGAAGCCGAGACGCGUGAGGUAGGUGGUGAAGCGCUGAAACCAUGCCCGGGGGGCCUGCUUAAGCCCGUAGAGUGAGCGAUGCAGGCGGCACACGUGAGACGGGUGCGCAGUGUCGACGAACCCGGACGGCUGCUGGCUGUAGACGACGGUGUCGAGGUGGCCGUGAAGAAAAGCAUUCUUCACAUCCAGCUGAUGGAUGGCCCAGCAGGCGGAGACGGCGAGGCUGAGGACGACGCGGAUGGUUGCCGGCUUGACGACAGGGCUGAAGGUCUCCUCGAAGUCGACGCCGUGUUGUUGAGUGAAGCCGCGCAAGACCCACCGGGCCUUGUACCGAGCGAGGGAUCCGUCGGGGUUCAGCUUGUGGCGAAAGAUCCAUUUCCCCGUCACCACGUUGACACCUGCAGGGGGAGAAACCAACGACCAAGUCUCGUUCUGUAACAAAGCAGUAUACUCCUCAAGCAUCGCGUUGUACCAGUUUGGGUCUUUGAGGGCGUGUUUGUAGGAGGAAGGGAGAGGAGAGAUGCGAUCGGUGGUGGCUGUGAGGGUGAAGAGGGAUUUUGGUUGGAGGAAUCCGGCUUUGGAGCGCGUGCGCAUGGGGUGGCUGUUUUUGGGUGGUAGGACGGGCACCGCUCGUGGAGGGAGAGGGUGGGGAGGCAGGGAGGGUGGUGGGGAGGCAGCCAGAGGCGGGGUGAGAGCGAGGGGCGACGUGCAUGGCGAGGACGACUCGGAUUGGCUGCAUGGCGAGCGCGCAGGCGAUUGGCUGCAUGGCGAGCUGGCAGCCGAGGGGUGGGGUCCGGGAUUUGUGGCCGGAGUGGUGGGGGUGAGUGGUGGGCCAGCGGGAGUGGUCGCAGCGGUGGGGGCGCAGCGGUCGGGGUGGUUGGGAGCGACGCGAUUGGGUGCGGGGGGUGGGGCGACUGGGGCGGAGGAUCCCGAGGAGGAUCCUGUUGGAUCGGAUCAGGUAGGUGGGGGGGAUCCCGAGGGAGAUGCGGGGCUGGGGGCAGUGGGAUUUUCUGUGGCGAAGGGAAAAAUGUGCUCGUUGAAAAUCACGUGCCGGGAGGUGAUAACUUUACGUGUGGAUAAUUCGAGGCACCGAUAGCCUUUGUGCUCGAGGGGUAUGCCGAGAAGUGUUGGAAAUAUGCCCUAGAGGCAAUAAUAAAUGGUUAUUAUUAUAUUUCUUUGUUCAUGGUAAUUGUCUAUUGUUCAUGCUAUAAUUGUAUUGUCUGGAAAUCGUAAUACAUGUGUGAAUACAUAGACUACAAUGUGUCCCUAGUAAGCCUCUAGUUGACUAGCUCGUUGAUCAACAGAUAGUCAUGGUUUCCUGACUAUGGGCAUUGGAUGUCAUUGAUAACGGGAUCACAUCAUUAGGAGAAUGAUGUGAUGGACAAGACCCAAUCCUAAGCAUAGCAUAAAAGAUCGUGUAGUUUCGUUUGCUAGAGCUUUUCCAAUGUCAAGUAUCUUUUCCUUAGACCAUGAGAUCGUGCAACUCCCGGAUACCGUAGGAGUGCUUUGGGUGUGCCAAACGUCACAACGUAACUGGGUGACUAUAAAGGUGCACUACGGGUAUCUCCGAAAGUGUCUGUUGGGUUGGCACGGAUCGAGACUGGGAUUUGUCACUCCGUGUGUCGGAGAGGUAUCUCUGGGCCCACUCGGUAAUGCAUCAUCAUAAUGAGCUCAAUGUGACUAAGGCGUUAGUCACGGGAUCAUGCAUUGCGGUACGAGUAAAGAGACUUGCCGGUAACGAGAUUGAAGAAGGUAUUGGGAUACCGACGAUCGAAUCUCGGGCAAGUAACAUACCGAUUGACAAAGGGAAUUGCAUACGGAUUGAUUGAAUCCUCGACACCGUGAUUCAUCCGAUGAGAUCAUCGUGGAACAUGUGGGAGCCAACAUGGGUAUCCAGAUCCCGCUGUUGGUUAUUGACCGGAGAGGCGUCUCGGUCAUGUCUGCAUGUCUCCCGAACCCGUAGGGUCUACACACUUAAGGUUCGGUAACGCUAGGGUUGUAGAGAUAUAUGUAUGCGGAAACCCGAAAGUUGUUCGGAGUCCCGGAUGAGAUCCCGGACGUCACGAGAGGUUCCGGAAUGGUCCGGAGGUGAAGAAUUAUAUAUAGGAAGUCCAGUUUCGGCCACCGGGAAAGUUUCGGGGGUUACCGGUAUUGUACCGGGACCACCGGAAGGGUCCCGGGGGUCCAUCGGGUGGGGCCACCUAUCCCGGAGGGCCCCAUGGGCUGAAAGUGGAAGGGAACCAGCCCUUAGUGGGCUGGGGCGCCCCCCUUGGGCCUCCCCCCAUGCGCCUAGGGUUGGGAACCCUAAGGGGGGGGAGCUUCCCCCUUGCCUUGGGGGGCAAGGCACCCCUUCCCCCCCUUUGGCCGCCGCCCCCCUUGGAGAUCCCAUCUCCCUGGGCCGGCGCCCCCCCCCCAGGGGGCCUAUAUAAAGGGGGGGAGGGAGGGCAGCAACCUACAGCCUUGGGCGCCUCCCUCCUCCCCUGCAACACCUCUCUCUCUCUCGCAGAAGCUUGGCGAAGCCCUGCCGGAGACCCGCUACAUCCACCACCACGCUGUCGUGCUGCUGGAUCUCCAUCAACCUCUCCUUCCCCCUUGCUGGAUCAAGAAGGAGGAGACGUCGCUGCACCGUACGUGUGUUGAACGCGGAGGUGCCGUCCGUUCGGCACUCGGUCAUCGGUGAUUUGGAUCACGGCGAGUACGACUCCGUCAUCCACGUUCAUUGGAACGCUUCCGCUCGCGAUCUACAAGGGUAUGUAGAUGCACUCCUUUCCCCUCGUUGCUAGUAGACUCCAUAGAUGCAUCUUGGUGAGCGUAGGAAAAUUUUAAAUUAUGCUACGAUUCACAAUAGUGGUAUCAGAGCCAGGCCUAUGCGUAGUUACUAUGCACGAGUAGAACACAAAGCAGUUGUGGGCGUUGAGUUUGCCAAUUCUUCUUGCCGCUACUAGUCUUUUCUUGUUUCGGCGGCAUUGUAGGAUGAAGCGGCCCGGACCGACCUUACACGUACACUUACGUGAGACAGGUUCCACCGACUGACAUGCACUAGUUGCAUAAGGUGGCUAGCGGGUGUCUGUCUCUCCUACUUUAGUCGGAACGGAUUCGAUGAAAAGGGUCCUUAUGAAGGGUAAAUAGAAAUUGCCAAAUCACGUUGUGGUCAUACGUAGGUAAGAAACGUUCUUGCUAGAAACCUACAAACCACGUAAAAACUUGCAACAACAAUUAGAAGACGUCUAACUUGUUUUUGCAGCAAGUGCUAUGUGAUGUGAUAUGGCCAGAAGAUGUGAUGAAUGAUAUAUGUGAUAUAUGAGAUUGAUCAUAUUCUUGUAAUAGGAAUCACGACUUGCAUGUCGAUGAGUAUGACAACCGGCAGGAGCCAUAGGAGUUGUCUUUAUUAUUUUGCAUGACCUGCGUGUCAUUGAAUAACGCCAUGUAAAUUACUUUACUUUGUUGCUAAACACGUUAGCCAUAGAAGUAGAAGUAAUCGUUGGCGUGACGACUUCAUGAAGACACAAUGAUGGAGAUCAUGAUGAUGGAGAUCAUGGUGUCAUGCCGGUGACGAAGAUGAUCAUGCUGCCCCAAAGAUGGAGAUCAAAGGAGCAUGAUGAUAUUGGCCAUAUCAUGUCACUAUUUGAUUGCAUGUGAUGUUUAUCAUGUUUUUGCAUCUUAUUUGCUUAGAACGACGGUAGCAAGUAGGAUGAUCCCUUAUAAUAAUUUCAAGAAAGUGUUCACCCUAACUGUGCACCGUUGCGAAGGUUCGUUGUUUCGAAGCACCACGUGAUGAUCGGGUGUGAUAGAUUCUAACGUUCGAAUACAACGGGUGUUGACGAGCCUAGCAUGUACAGACAUGGCCUCGGAACACACGCAAUACACUUAGGUUGACUUGACGAGCCUAGCAUGUACAGACAUGGCCUCGGAACACGGAGGACCGAAAGGUCGAGCAUGAGUCGUAUAGAAGAUACGAUCAACAUGGAGAUGUUCACCGAUCUUGACUAGUCCGUCUCACGUGAUGAUCGGACACGGCCUAGUUAAACUCGGAUCAUGUUUCACUUAGAUGACGAGAGGGAUGUCUAUCUGAGUGGGAGUUCAUUAAAUAAUUUGAUUAGAUGAACUCAAUUAUCAUGAACUUAGUCUAAAAUCUUUACACUAUGUCUUGUAGAUCAAAUGGCCAACGUUGUCCUCAAUUUCAACGCGUCCCUAGAGAAAACCAAGCUGAAAGAUGAUGGCAGCAACUAUACGGACUGGGUCCGGAACCUGAGGCUCAUCCUCAUAGUAGCCAAGAAAGAUUAUGUCUUAGAAGCACCGCUAGGUGAUGCACCAAUCCCACAGAACCAAGACGUUAUGAACGCUUGGCAAUCACGUGCUGAUGAUUACUCCCUCGUUCAGUGCGGCAUGCUUUACAGCUUAGAACCGGGUCUCCAAAAGCGUUUUGAGAAACAUGGAGCAUAUGAGAUGUUCGAGGAGCUGAAACUAGUUUUUCAAGCUCAUGCCCGGGUCGAGAGAUAUGAUGUCUCCGACAAGUUCUUCAGCUGUAAAAUGGAGGAGAACAGUUCUGUUAGUGAGCACAUACUCAGAAUGUCUGGGUUGCACAACCGCGUGUCUCAGCUGGGAGUUAAUCUCCCAGAUGACGCGGUCAUUGACAGAAUCCACCAGUCGCUUCCACCAAGCUAUAAGAGCUUUGUGAUGAACUACAAUAUGCAGGGGAUGGAAAAGACCAUUCCCGAGGUAUAUUCAAUGCUGAAAUCAGCGGAAGGGGAGAUCAGAAAAGAACAUCAAGUGUUGAUGGUGAAUAAAACCACUAAGUUCAAGAAGGGCAAGGGUAAGAAGAACUUCAAGAAGGACGGCAAGGGAGUUGCCGCGCCCGGUAAGCCAGUUACUUGGAAGAAGUCAAAGAAUGGACCCAAGCCCGGGACUGAGUGCUUUUAUUGCAAGGGAAGUGGUCACUGGAAGCGGAACUGCCCCAAAUAUUUAGCGGACAAGAAGAAGGCCGGCAACACCCAAGGUAUAUGUGAUAUACAAGUAAUUGAUGUGUACCUUACCAGUACUCGUAGUAGCUCCUGGGUAUUUGAUACCGGUGCGGUUGCUCAUAUUUGUAACUCAAAGCAGGAACUACGGAAUAAACGGAGACUGGCAAAGGACGAGGUGACGAUGCGCGUCGGGAAUGGUUCCAAGGUCGAUGUGAUCGCCGUCGGCACGCUACCUCUGCAUCUACCCACGGGAUUAGUUUUAAACCUCAAUAAUUGUUAUUUAGUGCCAGCUUUGAGCAUGAACAUUGUAUCUGGAUCUCGUUUAAUUCGAGAUGGCUACUCAUUUAAAUCCGAGAAUAAUGGUUGUUCUAUUUAUUUGAGAGAUAUGUUUUAUGGUCAUGCCCCGCUGGUCAAUGGUUUAUUUUUGAUGAAUCUCGAACGUGAUGUUACACAUGUUCAUAGUGUGAAUACCAAAAGGUGUAAAGUUGAUAACGAUAGUCCCACAUACUUGUGGCACUGCCGCCUUGGUCACAUUGGUGUCAAGCGCAUGAAGAAGCUCCAUCCAGAUGGACUUUUGGAGUCUCUUGAUUACGAAUCAUUUGACACGUGCGAACCAUGCCUCAUGGGUAAGAUGACCAAGACUCAGUUCUCCGGAACAAUGGAGCGAGCAACCAACUUAUUGGAAAUCAUACAUACCGAUGUGUGUGGUCCAAUGAGUGUUGAGGCUCACGGAGGAUAUCGUUAUGUUCUCACUCUCACUGAUGACUUAAGUAGAUAUGGGUAUGUCUACCUAAUGAAACACAAGUCUGAAACCUUUGAAAAGUUCAAGGAAUUUCAGAGUGAAGUUGAGAAUCAACGUGACAGGAGAAUAAAAUUCUUACGAUCAGAUCGUGGGAGAAUAUUUAAGUCACGAGUUUGGUGCACACUUAAGGAAAUGUGGAAUAGUUUCACAACUCACGCCGCCUGGAACACCUCAGAGAAAUGGUGUGUCCGAAUGUCGUAAUCGCACUCUAUUGGAUAUGGUGCGAUCUAUGAUGUCUCUUACCGAUUUACCGCUCUCAUUUUGGGGCUAUGCUUUAGAGACUGCCGCAUUCACUUUAAAUAGGGCUCCGUCAAAAUCCGUUGAGACGACACCGUAUGAAUUAUGGUUUGGGAAGAAACCUAAGCUGUCGUUUCUAAAAGUUUGGGGAUGCGAUGCUUAUGUCAAGAAACUUCAACCUGAAAACCUCGAACCCAAGUCGGAAAAAUGCGUCUUCAUAGGAUACCCUAAGGAAACUAUUGGGUAUACCUUCUACCUCAGAUCCGAAGGCAAGAUCUUCGUUGCCAAGAACGGGUCCUUUCUGGAGAAGGAGUUUCUCUCGAAAGAAUUGAGUGGGAGGAAUGUGGAACUUGAUGAGGUGAUAGUCACCCCUUCCGAACCGGAAAGUAGCGCAGCGCGGGAAAAUGUUCCUGUGGUGCCUACACCGACUGGGGAGGAAGUUAAUGAUGAUGAUCAUGAAGCUUCGGAUCAGGUUACUGAACUUCGUAGGUCCACAAGGACACGUUCCGCACCAGAGUGGUACGGCAACCCUGUCCUGGAAAUCAUGUUGUUAGACAACGGUGAACCUUCGAACUAUGAAGAAGCGAUGGCGGGCCCGGAUUCCGACAAAUGGCUAGAAGCCAUGAAAUCCGAGAUAGAAUCCAUGUAUGAAAACAAAGUGUGGACUUUGACUGACUUGCCCGAUGAGCGGCGAGCCAUAGAAAACAAAUGGAUCUUUAAGAAGAAGACGGACGCAGAUGGUAAUGUGACCAUCUACAAAGCUCGACUUGUCGCUAAGGGUUAUCGACAAGUUCAAGGGGUUGACUACGAUGAGACUUUCUCACCCGUAGCGAAGCUGAAGUCCGUCCGAAUCAUGUUAGCAAUUGUCGCAUACUAUGAUUAUGAGAUAUGGCAGAUGGACGUCAAAACGGCAUUCCUUAACGGCUUCCUUAAGGAAGAGUUGUAUAUGAUGCAGCCGGAAGGUUUUGUCGAUCCUAAGAAUGCUAACUCAAUCUAUGGGCUGGUGCAAGCAUCUCGGAGUUGGAACAUUCGCUUUGAUGAGAUGAUCAAAGCGUUUGGGUUUACACAGACUUAUGGAGAAGCCUGUGUUUACAAGAAAGUGAGUGGGAGCUCUGUAGCAUUUCUCAUAUUAUAUGUGGAUGACAUACUAUUGAUGGGAAAUGAUAUAGAAUUCUUGGAAAGUAUUAAGGCCUAUUUGAAUAAGUGUUUUUCAAUGAAGGACCUUGGAGAAGCUGCUUAUAUAUUAGGCAUCAAGAUCUAUAGAGAUAGAUCAAGACGCCUCAUUGGUCUUUCACAGAGUACAUACCUUGACAAGAUAUUGAAGAAGUUCAGUAUGGAUCAGUCCAAGAAGGGGUUCUUGCCUGUAUUGCAAGGUGUGCAAUUGAGCACGGCUCAAUGCCCGACCACGGCAGAAGAUAUAGAAGAGAUGAGUGUCAUCCCCUAUGCCUCGGCCAUAGGGUCUAUUAUGUAUGCCAUGCUGUGUACCAGACCUGAUGUAAACCUUGCCGUAAGUUUGGUAGGAAGGUACCAAAGUAAUCCCGGCAAGGAAUACUGGACAGCGGUCAAGAAUAUCCUGAAGUACCUGAAGAGGACUAAGGAUAUGUUUCUCGUUUAUGGAGGUGACGAAGAGCUCGUCGUAAAGGGUUACGUCGACGCUAGCUUCGACACAGAUCUGGAUGACUCAAAGUCUCAAACCGGAUACGUGUAUAUUUUGAAUGGAGGAGCAGUAAGCUGGUGCAGUUGCAAGCAAAGCGUCGUGGCGGGAUCUACAUGUGAAGCGGAGUACAUGGCAGCCUCGGAGGCAGCACAGGAAGCAGUCUGGAUGAAGGAGUUCAUUACCGACCUAGGGGUGAUUCCCAAUGCGUCGGGCCCGAUGACUCUCUUCUGUGACAACACUGGAGCUAUUGCCCUUGCGAAGGAGCCCAGGUUUCACAGGAAGACCAGGCAUAUCAAGCGUCGCUUCAACUCCAUUCGUGAAAGUGUUCAAAAUGGAGACAUAGAUAUUUGUAAAGUACAUACGGACCUGAAUGUAGCAGAUCCGUUGACUAAACCUCUCCCUAGGGCAAAACAUGAUCAAUACCAGGACGCAAUGGGUGUUCGAUUCAUCACAAUGUAACUAGAUUAUUGACUCUAGUGCAAGUGGGAGACUGUUGGAAAUAUGCCCUAGAGGCAAUAAUAAAUGGUUAUUAUUAUAUUUCUUUGUUCAUGAUAAUCGUCUAUUAUUCAUGCUAUAAUUGUAUUGUCCGGAAAUCGUAAUACAUGUGUGAAUACAUAGACCACAACGUGUCCCUAGUAAGCCUCUAGUUGACUAGCUCGUUGAUCAACAGAUAGUCAUGGUUUCCUGACUAUGGACAUUGGAUGUCAUUGAUAACGGGAUCACAUCAUUAGGAGAAUGAUGUGAUGGACAAGACCCAAUCCUAAGCAUAGCAUAAAAGAUCGUGUAGUUUCGUUUGCUAGAGCUUUUCCAAUGUCAAGUAUCUUUCCUUAGACCAUGAGAUCGUGCAACUCCCGGAUACCGUAGGAGUGCUUUGGGUGUGUCAAAUGUCACAACGUAACUGGGUGACUAUAAAGGUGCACUACGGGUAUCUCCGAAAGUGUCUGUUGGGUUGGCACGGAUCGAGACUGGGAUUUGUCACUCCGUGUGACGGAGAGGUAUCUCUGGGCCCACUCGGUAAUGCAUCAUCAUAAUGAGCUCAAUGUGACUAAGGCGUUAGUCACGGGAUCAUGCAUUGCGGUACGAGUAAAGAGACUUGCCGGUAACGAGAUUGAACAAGGUAUUGGGAUACCGACGAUCGAAUCUCGGGCAAGUAACAUACCGAUUGGCAAAGGGAAUUGCAUACGGGAUUGAUUGAAUCCUCGACACCGUGGUUCAUCCGAUGAGAUCAUCGUGGAACAUGUGGGAGCCAACAUGGGUAUCCAGAUCCCGCUGUUGGUUAUUGACCGGAGAGGCGUCUCGGUCAUGUCUGCAUGUCUCCCGAACCCGUAGGGUCUACACACUUAAGGUUCGGUGACGCUAGGGUUGUAGAGAUAUAUGUAUGCGGAAACCCGAAAGUUGUUCGGAGUCCCGGAUGAGAUCCCGGACGUCACGAGAGGUUCCGGAAUGGUCCGGAGGUGAAGAAUUAUAUAUAGGAAGUCAAGUUUCGGCCACCGGGAAAGUUUCGGGGGUUACCGGUAUUGUACUGGGACCACCGGAAGGGUCCCGGGGGUCCACCGGGUGGGGCCACCUGUCCCGGAGGGCCCCGUGAACUGAAAGUGGAAGGGAACCAGCCCUUAGUGGGCUGGGGCGCCCCCCUUGGGCCUCCACCCAUGCGCUAGGGUUGGGAACCCUAGGGGGGAGCUUCCCCCUUGCCUUGGGGGGCAAGGCACCCCUUUCCACUCCUUGGCCGCCGCCCCCCCAACCCUAGAUGGGUUUUGGCCGGCCCCCCUCCCAAGGGGGCCUAUAUAAAGGGGGGAGGGAGGGCAGCAACACACAGCCUUGGGCGCCUCCCUCCUCCCCUGCAACACCUCUCUCUCUCUCUCUCUCUCUCUCUCUCUCUCUCUCUCUCUCUCUCUCUCUCUCUCUCUCGCAGAAGCUCGGCAAAGCCCUGCCGGAGACCCGCUACAUCCACCACCACGCCGUCGUGCUGUUGGAUCUCCAUCAACCUCUCCUUCCCCCUUGCUGGAUCAAGAAGGAGGAGACAUCGCUGCACCGUACGUGUGUUGAACGCGGAGGUGCCGUCCGUUCGACACUCGGUCAUCGGUGAUUUGGAUCACGGCGAGUACGACUCCGUCAUCCACGCUCAUUGGAACGCUUCCGCUCACGAUCUACAAGGGUAUGUAGAUGCACUCCUUUCCCCUCGUUGCUAGUAGACUCCAUAGAUGCAUCUUGGUGAGCGUAGGAAAAUUUUAAAUUAUGCUACGAUUCUCAACAGUGGCAUCAUGAGCCAGGCCUAUGCGUAGUUACUAUGCACGAGUAGAAGACAAAGCAGUUGUGGGCGUUGAGUUUGCCAAUUCUUCUUGCCGCUACUAGUCGUUUCUUGUUUCGGCGGCAUUGUAGGAUGAAGCGGCCCGGACCGACCUUACACGUACGCUUACGUGAGACAGGUUCCACCGACUGACAUGCACUAGUUGCAUAAGGUGGCUAGAGGGUGUCUGUCUCUCCUACUUUAGUCGGAACGGAUUCGAUGAAAAGGGUCCUUAUGAAGGGUAAAUAGAAAUUGGCAAAUCACGUUGUGGUCAUACGUAGGUAAGAAAACGUUCUUGCUAGAAACCUACAAACCACGUAAAAACUUGCAACAACAAUUAGAGGACGUCUAACUUGUUUUUGCAGCAAGUGCUAUGUGAUGUGAUAUGGCCAGAAGAUGUGAUGAAUGAUAUAUGUGAUGUAUGAGAUUGAUCAUAUUCUUGUAAUAGGAAUCACGACUUGCAUGUCGAUGAGUAUGACAACCGGCAGGAGCCAUAGGAGUUGUCUUUAUUAUUUUGCAUGACCUGCGUGUCAUUGAAUAACGCCAUGUAAUUUACUUUACUUUGUUGCUAAACGCGUUAGCCAUACAAGUAGAAGUAAUCGUUGGCGUGACGACUUCAUNNNNNNNNNNNNNNNNNNNNNNNNNNNNNNNNNNNNNNNNNNNNNNNNNNNNNNNNNNNNNNNNNNNNNNNNNNNNNNNNNNNNNNNNNNNNNNNNNNNNNNNNNNNNNNNNNNNNNNNNNNNNNNNNNNNNNNNNNNNNNNNNNNNNNNNNNNNNNNNNNNNNNNNNNNNNNNNNNNNNNNNNNNNNNNNNNNNNNNNNNNNNNNNNNNNNNNNNNNNNNNNNNNNNNNNNNNNNNNNNNNNNNNNNNNNNNNNNNNNNNNNNNNNNNNNNNNNNNNNNNNNNNNNNNNNNNNNNNNNNNNNNNNNNNNNNNNNNNNNNNNNNNNNNNNNNNNNNNNNNNNNNNNNNNNNNNNNNNNNNNNNNNNNNNNNNNNNNNNNNNNNNNNNNNNNNNNNNNNNNNNNNNNNNNNNNNNNNNNNNNNNNNNNNNNNNNNNNNNNNNNNNNNNNNNNNNNNNNNNNNNNNNNNNNNNNNNNNNNNNNNNNNNNNNNNNNNNNNNNNNNNNNNNNNNNNNNNNNNNNNNNNNNNNNNNNNNNNNNNNNNNNNNNNNNNNNNNNNNNNNNNNNNNNNNNNNNNNNNNNNNNNNNNNNNNNNNNNNNNNNNNNNNNNNNNNNNNNNNNNNNNNNNNNNNNNNNNNNNNNNNNNNNNNNNNNNNNNNNNNNNNNNNNNNNNNNNNNNNNNNNNNNNNNNNNNNNNNNNNNNNNNNNNNNNNNNNNNNNNNNNNNNNNNNNNNNNNNNNNNNNNNNNNNNNNNNNNNNNNNNNNNNNNNNNNNNNNNNNNNNNNNNNNNNNNNNNNNNNNNNNNNNNNNNNNNNNNNNNNNNNNNNNNNNGAUGUGAUCGCCGUCGGCACGCUACCUCUGCAUCUACCCACGGGAUUAGUUUUAAACCUCAGUAAUUGUUAUUUAGUGCCAGCUUUGAGCAUGAACAUUGUAUCUGGAUCUCGUUUAAUUCGAGAUGGCUACUCAUUUAAAUCCGAGAAUAAUGGUUGUUCUAUUUAUUUGAGAGAUAUGUUUUAUGGUCAUGCCCCGCUGGUCAAUGGUUUAUUUUUGAUGAAUCUCGAACGUGAUGUUACACAUGUUCAUAGUGUGAAUACCAAAAGAUGUAAAGUUGAUAACAAUAGUCCCACAUACUUGUGGCACUGCCGCCUUGGUCACAUUGGUGUCAAGCGCAUGAAGAAGCUCCAUGCAGAUGGACUUUUGGAGUCUCUUGAUUACGAAUCAUUUGACACGUGCGAACCAUGCCUCAUGGGUAAGAUGACCAAGACUCCGUUCUCCGAAACAAUGGAGCGAGCAACCAACUUAUUGGAAAUCAUACAUACCGAUGUGUGCGGUCCAAUGAGUGUUGAGGCUCGUGGAGGAUAUCGUUAUGUUCUCACUCUCACUGAUGAUUUAAGUAGAUAUGGGUAUGUCUACCUAAUGAAACACAAGUCUGAAACCUUUGAAAAGUUCAAGGAAUUUCAUAGUGAAGUUGAGAAUCAACGUGACAGGAAAAUAAAAUUCUUAUGAUCAGAUCGUGGGAGAGAAUAUUUAAGUCACGAGUUUGGUGCACACUUAAGGAAAUGUGGAAUAUUUUCACAACUCACGCCGCCUGGAACACCUCAGAGAAAUGGUGUGUCCGAACGUCGUAAUCGCACUCUAUUGGAUAUGGUGCGAUCUAUGAUGUCUCUUACCGAUUUACCGCUCUCAUUUUAGGGCUAUGCUUUAGAGACUGCCGCAUUCACUUUAAAUAGGGCUCCGUCGAAAUCCGUUGAGACGACACCGUAUGAAUUAUGGUUUGGGAAGAAACCUAAGCUGUCGUUUCUAAAAGUUUGGGGAUGCGAUGCUUAUGUCAAGAAACUUCAACCUGAAAAGCUCGAACCCAAGUCGUAAAAAUGCGUCUUCAUAGGAUACCCUAAGGAAACUAUUGGGUAUACCUUCUACCUCAGAUCCGAGGGAAAGAUCUUCGUUGCCAAGAACGGGUCCUUUCUAGAGAAGGAGUUUCUCUCGAAAGAAUUGAGUGGGAGGAAAGUGGAACUUGAUGAGGUGAUAGUCACCCCUUCCGAACCGGAAAGUAGCGCAGCGCGGGAAAAUGUUCCUAUGGUGCCUACACCGACUGGGGAGGAAGUUAAUGAUGAUGAUCAUGAAGCUUCAGAUCAAGUUACUGAACUUCGUAGGUCCACAAGGACACGUUCCGCACCAGAGUGGUACGGCAACCCUGUCCUGGAAAUCAUGUUGUUAGACAACGGUGAACCUUCGAACUAUGAAGAAGCGAUGGCGGGCCCGGAUUCCGACAAAUGGCUAGAAGCCAUGAAAUCCGAGAUAGAAUCCAUGUAUGAAACCAAAGUAUGGACUUUGACUGACUUGCCCGAUGAGCGGCGAGCCAUAGAAAACAAAUGGAUCUUUAAGAAGAAGACGGACGCAGAUGGUAAUGUGACCAUCUACAAAGCUCGACUUGUUGCUAAGGGUUAUCGACAAGUUCAAGGGGUUGACUACGAUGAGACUUUCUCACCCGUAGCGAAGCUGAAGUCCGUCCGAAUCAUGUUAGCAAUUGCCGCAUACUAUGAUUAUGAGAUAUGGCAGAUGGACGUCAAAACGGCAUUCCUUAACGGCUUCCUUAAGGAAGAGUUGUAUAUGAUGCAGCCGGAAGGUUUUGUCGAUCCUAAGAAUGCUAACAAAGUAUGCAAGCUCCAGCGCUCAAUCUAUGGGCUGGUGCAAGCAUCUCGGAGUUGGAACAUUCGCUUUGAUGAGAUGAUCAAAGCGUUUGGGUUUACACAGACUUAUGGAGAAGCCUGUGUUUACAAGAAAGUGAGUGGGAGCUCUGUAGCAUUUCUCAUAUUAUAUGUGGAUGACAUAAUAUUGAUGGGAAAUGAUAUAGAAUUCUUGGAAAGUAUAAAGGCCUAUUUGAAUAAGUGUUUUUCAAUGAAGGACCUUGGAGAAGCUGCUUACAUAUUAGGCAUCAAGAUCUAUAGAGAUAGAUCAAGACGCCUCAUUGGUCUUUCACAGAGUACAUACCUUGACAAGAUAUUGAAGAAGUUCAGUAUGGAUCAGUCCAAGAAGGGGUUCUUGCCUGUAUUGCAAGGUGUGCAAUUGAGCACGGCUCAAUGCCCGACCACGGCAGAAGAUAUAGAAGAGAUGAGUGUCAUCCCCUAUGCCUCGGCCAUAGGGUCUAUUAUGUAUGCCAUGCUGUGUACCAGACCUGAUGUAAACCUUGCCGUAAGUUUGGUAGGAAGGUACCAAAGUAAUCCCGGCAAGGAACACUGGACAGCGGUCAAGAAUAUCCUGAAGUACCUGAAGAGGACUAAGGAUAUGUUUCUCGUUUAUGGAGGUGACGAAGAGCUCAUCGUAAAGGGUUACGUCGACGCUAGCUUCGACACAGAUCUGGAUGACUCGAAGUCACAGACCGGAUACGUGUAUAUUUUGAAUGGAGGAGCAGUAAGCUGGUGCAGUUGCAAGCAAAGCGUCGUGGCGGGAUCUACAUGUGAAGCGGAGUACAUGGCAGCCUCGGAGGCAGCACAGGAAGCAGUCUGGAUGAAGGAGUUCAUUACCGACCUAGGGGUGAUUCCCAAUGCGUCGGGCCCGAUGACUCUCUUCUGUGACAACACUGGAGCUAUUGCCCUUGCGAAGGAGCCCAGGUUUCACAGAAAGACCAGGCAUAUCAAGCGUCGCUUCAACUCCAUUCGUGAAAGUGUUCAAAAUGGAGACAUAGAUAUUUGUAAAGUACAUACGGACCUGAAUGUAGCAGAUCCGUUGCCUAAACCUCUCCCUAGGGCAAAACAUGAUCAACACCAGGACGCAAUGGGUGUUCGAUUCAUCACAAUGUAACUAGAUUAUUGACUCUAGUGCAAGUGGGAGACUGUUGGAAAUAUGCCCUAGAGGCAAUAAUAAAUGGUUAUUAUUAUAUUUCUUUGUUCAUGGUAAUUGUCUAUUGUUCAUGCUAUAAUUGUAUUGUCCGGAAAUCGUAAUACAUGUGUGAAUACAUAGACUACAAUGUGUCCCUAGUAAGCCUCUAGUUGACUAGCUCGUUGAUCAACAGAUAGUCAUGGUUUCCUGACUAUGGGCAUUGGAUGUCAUUGAUAACGGGAUCACAUCAUUAGGAGAAUGAUGUGAUGGACAAGACCCAAUCCUAAGCAUAGCAUAAAAGAUCGUGUAGUUUCGUUUGCUAGAGCUUUUCCAAUGUCAAGUAUCUUUUCCUUAGACCAUGAGAUCGUGCAACUCCUGGAUACCGUAGGAGUGCUUUGGGUGUGCCAAACGUCACAACGUAACUGGGUGACUAUAAAGGUGCACUACGGGUAUCUCCGAAAGUGUCUGUUGGGUUGGCACGGAUCGAGACUGGGAUUUGUCACUCUGUGUGACGGAGAGGUAUCUCUGGGCCCACUCGGUAAUGCAUCAUCAUAAUGAGCUCAAUGUGACUAAGGCGUUAGUCACGGGAUCAUGCAUUGCGGUACGAGUAAAGAGACUUACGGUAACGAGAUUGAACAAGGUAUUGGGAUACCGACGAUCGAAUCUCCGGCAAGUAACAUACCGAUUGACAAAGGGAAUUGCAUACGGAUUGAUUGAAUCCUCGACACCGUGGUUCAUCCGAUGAGAUCAUCGUGGAACAUGUGGGAGCCAACAUGGGUAUCCAGAUCCCGCUGUUGGUUAUUGACCGGAGAGGCGUCUCGGUCAUGUCUGCAUGUCUCCCGAACCCGUAGGGUCUACACACUUAAGGUUCGGUAACGCUAGGGUUGUAGAGAUAUAUGUAUGCGGAAACCCGAAAGUUGUUCGGAGUCCCGGAUGAGAUCCCGGACGUCACGAGAGGUUCCGGAAUGGUCCGGAGGUGAAGAAUUAUAUAUAGGAAGUCCAGUUUCGGCCACCGGGAAAGUUUCGGGGGUUACCGGUAUUGUACCGGGACCACCAGAAGGGUCCCAGGGGUCCAUCGGGUGGGGCCACCUAUCCCGGAGGGCCCCAUGGGCUGAAAGUGGAAGGGAACCAGCCCUUAGUGGGCUGGGGCGCCCCCCUUGGGCCUCCCCCCAUGCGCCUAGGGUUGGGAACCCUAAGGGGGGGGAGCUUCCCCCUUGCCUUGGGGGGCAAGGCACCCCUUCCCCCCCUUUGGCCGCCGCCCCCCUUGGAGAUCCCAUCUCCCUGGGCCGGCGCCCCCCCCCCCCCAGGGGGCCUAUAUAAAGGGGGGGAGGGAGGGCAGCAACCUACAGCCUUGGGCGCCUCCCUCCUCCCCUGCAACACCUCUCUCUCUCGCAGAAGCUUGGCGAAGCCCUGCCGGAGACCCGCUACAUCCACCACCACGCCGUCGUGCUGCUGGAUCUCCAUCAACCUCUCCUUCCCCCUUGCUGGAUCAAGAAGGAGGAGACGUCGCUGCACCGUACGUGUGUUGAACGCGGAGGUGCCGUCCGUUCGGCACUCGGUCAUCGGUGAUUUGGAUCACGGCGAGUACGACUCCGUCAUCCACGUUCAUUGGAAGGCUUCCGCUCGCGAUCUACAAGGGUAUGUAGAUGCACUCCUUUCCCCUCGUUGCUAGUAGACUCCAUAGAUGCAUCUUGGUGAGCGUAGGAAAAUUUUAAUUAUGCUACGAUUCCCAACAAGAAGAACGCAGGGUGUGGAGCGGGCGGAAAGUUUAUGGGGAGUGGUGGCAUAGAGGUUGGGAUAGCACAAACAGCCAAACGUGCGAAUGUGGUCGUAGUUGGGAUGAGCACCGUAAAGCAUGAAGUAGGGGGUGUUGUGGUGGAUGGCUCGGGAGGGUCGUAUAUUGAGGAGGUAUGUGGCAGUGUGAAGGGCUUCUACCCAAAAUUUGGGGGGCAUGCUGGCUUGGACAAGGAGUGUGCGAAGUAUGUCGUUUGUGGAGCGGAUGGCGCGCUCAGCUUUCCCGUUUUGUGGUGAUGUGUGCGGGCAGGAGAGGCGUAGGGCAGUGCCAUGUUCACUUAGAGAGGAGCGGAGAGAGAUGUUAAGAAACUCGCCGCCGUUAUCGCACUGGAGGCUCUGGAUGUAGACAUGGAAUUGUGUGAGCACGAAGCCAAAGAAACGUUUGAGAACGUCAGUAGCCUCGGAUUUGGCACGGAGGGGAAAAGUCCAUGCGAAGUGGGAAAAAUCAUCCAUUAUUAUUAAGUAAUAUUUGUAGCCAGAGCAACUAGGGACGGGAGACGUCCAAAGAUCACAGUGUACAAGCUGAAAAGGAAAACUAGUGACAGAGGUAGAAGAAGAAAAAGGCAGGCGCGGCUGCUUCCCUAAUUGGCACGCCUCACAUGAUCCAGAGGCGGCAGGGAGUUUAUUACAAUCUGGAAGAAAAUGUUGUGAUAAACGGGAAAGAGAGGCACUGCCGGGGUGCCCCAAACGGCGAUGCCACAGGUCGCCGGAGUUGGUGUAGAACGCCGAAGAGAUGGAUGCCCCGCUUCUGUAGAGGGGACCGAAACUAGUGCGCCUCAUGAGGGGGGUCCUGGUGGCUAGAUCCUUCACAGAAAAACCGAGGGGGUCAAACUCAACAGAUACAUUAUUAUCAGUGGAUAGUUGACGGACAGAGAGUAGGUUUUGAACAAUAUCGGGUGCCACGAGAACAUUAUGAAGCAGCAAGGGGCGAGAGGAUGUGGGGAUGGAGGCGGUGCCGGUGGCAACUACAGGCAGACGAGUGUCGUCGCCAACGAUGAUGGGAGCAUGCUGUUUUGAGACAGGACGAGAAGUGGCGAGGUUACCUGCAUUACCAGUGACGUGCGAGGAGGCACCGGAAUCAAAGAUCCAGUCACCGUUGCCGUUGCCGGGCUGCUGGAGAGACAGCUGGUUCAUGGCGGAGUAGAGCGCCGCCUGAUCCCAAGAGGGUUGGGGUGGCGCGUUGGGUCCAGCGUACAGCGCGGGGUAGGCAUGCUGGGCAGCACCGGGGCGAGGCCCGAGAACCCCGGCUGCGUUGGGGGGAACCCAGGGAGCGCGCGGCGGCGGGAAGGGCGUCCCCCACGGCGCGAAGUAGCCCAUCCACGGAGUGGAGCCGCCGGGAGAGCAGGCGGACCGCGCCCGCCGUUGUAGCCGCGCCCGCGCCCGCGGCCACGCCCGCGUCCACCGUUGUGCCCGCGGCCGCGGUCACCGGCGCUGCUGUUGCCGCGCUCCAUGGGAGGCUUGCCGCGCUGAGGUGCACGGCCUGGGCAGGUUGGUUGGCGAGGAAGAAUUCGUGAAGUUGGCUCUAGACGCGAUGCGCGGUGUUGCCGGCACCGCGGAUAACCUCGUACAGGCCGUCGGCGAUGGUGGAGUAGAGCAGGAGCAGGAGCGUCAGAUCGGUGUGGUGCCACGCCGGAGUUUGGAGCAGUGGGUCGGAGUAGUGGUCGACAUGGCUCUCGACGGAGUACAUGAGGAGGACGCAGCGCCAGAGUUCACGCCACUUCGAAUAGCUGCCGGUUUGGACAUCCAGCUUGAAGGGGAUGAGGUUGUGGAUGUUGUUGAGGGUGUGGAUGGAGGGGGUGGUGGUGGCAGAGGACGACGCUAUGUCAGGGAGGGUGGGAGGCGACGGCAGGGUCACCAGGCUCAUGGUGCUAGGGGCGGUUGCUGGCGGAGCCGUGAGGACGGGGGUGGAGAGGUCAGAGGAGGGGAGCACAGGAGCGGGAGGGGGAGGGGUGGAGCCCGUCAGGUCGCCGCUCGAAAGGCCGCCGGAGCCGUCGCCAAUGUCCAUGAGAGACAGGGACAGGAAAGAGAGCUCUGAUUACCAAGAUGGAGAAUGAAUACACUGGUGAUUCUCAUUGAUGCCCACGAAGGGGUUAAUAUACAGGUACAGGGGCUGGUAACAACCCAGCUAUACAGGAGGUCAUGCACAUCGUGUAACAGAAAAGGAGGGCACGUCCGGUGCAUGAACUACGUGGGACUCGGUCCUCUAGUUGAGCCAGCAACGGUAGUCUUCCAACAGAUGAGAACACCGAACUGAUUCCUUUAGUUGCUGCCUCUGCAGAUUUGUGUGCCCCCUUUCAGUAGUUCAACCUGGGUAGGAUUUGAACAAAGGUUGAUGUGAAAUAUAGCAAAAAAUGAAACAAGUUAGCAUCAUAUAUAUGGACGAAGGGAGGUAUGGAGUAAUGAAACUGAAACGGAGAGGGCUAAGAAUAGAGAGAUCAACCAGGGGAAUCCGUCGAACAUGUGGUGGCCUGGUGGGCAUCCACACACUACAUGGUGCAUCCUCUACCACCGCACUCCCCUAUGUGCUCACACGCCGCGCUGCCACGGUUGUGUGCAUCAUCAUCGCGUAGAGGAACAACAACACGACCUUUCUGUCUGUGGCUGAAUGAAAGAACGACGGCGACUUCUGUCGCGGAGGAUGGCGCCCCCGGUCCCUGGCGUGCAAAAAGAACAUCGGCGGGGAGUCGGCGGCGCAUAGCCGCACGGAGGGACGGCCACGGGGGUCGCGGAUGAUGGUGCCCCCGGUCCCCGGUGAGCAGAGGAAAAGCGGCGGCGGGUCGGCGGCACAUCGGCCCGUCCCCCCUGUGGCGGAGGUGCUGCUCGGCCGCCGGCGUCAGCCGGGGGCGUGCUGCAGGCUCUGCUCACGGCGGCAUGUCAGCCCCAGAAAAGCGGAGGGUGUCGGGGCCGUGAAGGGGCCGAGCGGCGUCGAGCGCCCGCGAGGGCAGGCGCGGCGGCGGGGUCAGGCGCGGGGCGGCGAGGGCAGUCGCGGGGCGGGGCGGCGAGGGCAGGCGCGGCGGCGUCGGUUGGGCAGAGAACAGGGGCGUGGGGGCAUGGGGCGUGCGGGAAUGCGGGAUUGCAUUUUUUUAAGAGAGUUUCGCUCUGAGGAACAGCAGUGGCAGCUUGUGUGCGUGGGUUGCAGAAUGGAAUGGAGUGUUUCAUAUCGAGAACGCUUGCUGAUACGACAUCAAGUAUUCCCACCGAAUUUCCUCAACAAAAUGCACUACAUGCUAGUCCUAGAUGGUACACUCACAUAAACAAAGCCAAGAUAGUUCUACCCAGCAGCAAAUUACAUCGGCAAACGGUUGCGGGAGCAAGCUUAUCAAAAUGUGACAAUGACCUUGGCCCUGGUAGACGCCCUCGGCAGAGCUAAUAGCUUGGCAAGAACCAUGCUACAUUCCAUUUCACCCUUCCAGUCUAUCUUCAGUUCUUCUAAAGCUGGUGCCCAGCUUAGUAGCUUUGCCACGAAAUCAACUUCGCAGUCCAGACCCCCGAAAUGGUUCACACUAGCCAUUACGAGAUGGUCCAUUUGCAAUUGCAGGUUAAGUCCUUGAAUGCCCACCUGAUCCUCAUCCCGACCAAGGAUGCUCCAAGGAAAACUCUGCAUUUUUUUUCACAACUCGUUAGCCAUAAACACAACGAACAAACAUGGAUCAGGUGAUCGAACAAGGGGGGAGAGUUUACUGGAGGCAUACUUACCCACAUCUCAAGCUUCUUUAAGUUAGGGGCGUUCUGAAACAAUGAACAUGCAGUCAAGACUUGCCUCUGACCCCACAAGCAUAUCAUAAUACGAACACUCUCCAGGUGAGUAGACACGGCAGGGAGCUUCGUAUGUAUGCAUCCUUUUGAUAGAUACUGCAACAAUAAAAUAAUAAUAAUAAUAAUAAUAAUAAUAAUAAUAGAUGGCAACACAGAUUAGUCAGAGGCAGAAGAAGGCCAUAGUAAUGCUGGAGAUAAUAAUAGCUCACCUUUAGGAAAAAACCAUUAAUUGUAAGUGUUUCAAUGACACUUAGGCUACCCAAGGACUGCUUGACAUAGCUUUCCUUGUCAUGCGCAAUUGGAACAGAUUGAUACGCUUUAUCAAGAGAGAGAAAGGCCACCUCCAGAUUAGGUGCGUCCAACUUAAUGUCCUCAAAAUCCCCUUCAACAUAAAGAUAAUCCAGUUUAGGAGCCUUAAUGUUUAGACGGUUGAUGCCCUCAAAAGAAUCUAAUAUCAAAUCAGUCAGUGCGGGGCAGAACGAGAUCAAAUUUUGGAUAUCCUUGUCUGUGGAGGAGAAGAGUUUCAGGGUGAGGUCAGUUAGGCUCUUGAAACCUUGGAAUGCCCGAGGCAAGCUGAUGAUGCAGUUUUCUAGGUGCAGAUACUCCAGAUCACCAAUAGAAAAGAGGCACGAGGGAAUCUUAUACCUUGGCCCCGAGUUCAACUUGAUUAUAACUGAUUUUGGUGAUUUCCUUGACAGCAUGAUCAUCCACCUACCGAACUCAUCAUGGUAAUUUUUGUUACCUGAAAUAUCAAACUCCUCUAUUGUUCCCUUGUGAAGUAAUAGCACCAUAUCGACUAACGUAACGAACUUGGUUCUUGCAAGAUUUCCAUCGCACAGAGAUAUUACUGGCAUGUCAGUCCAUGCAUCCCUCCAAAUACUUGAUAAGGUACUAGUCCUAACCGCUUCUUCGACAUUCAAACGUGAGAGGAUGUCGCCCUUUAUCUCUGGAGGUAGAUUGCUAAGUCUGUCUGUACUCACAACUGAUGCAGCUUCCGCCCUGGCCUUUUUACAGGUACUCAUUGCUUCAGAAUCCAUAUUAAACUGUCCUAGAAUUUCCGGAAGACAGGGAGCCUAAAUUAGCGUGCAGUCUACCACAUGUCACUAAAAAAGUAAAAAUACAAUACACGCAAAAAAUCAAAUUGUGCACUGAGUAGUAGCUUGUUCCUAGCAAAACAACAAAUAACCAACAACCAAGAGAUGGGAAUUUAGGGAGAAGUGCGGACAGUAUGUUUCUAUGCGUUGCUAUGAUUAUCAUUUGACAUGUGUUACAAGACCUAGCUAAUUUGUGAUCUUGAAGAGUAAACAUGUACCAGGCUGCAAGAUGGAAAGGGGCUUCUUUUGUUGAAUACAUGUGCCAUCAUUUGAGGAAGAGGUGAUUAAACUUGUGCCGAUUGGACAAACAAUUUAGGGUAUAUAAUUGAGAUGCCGUCAGCGUGGCCAAAUGAUCAAAUGCAAGUCUAGUUGAGGAUAGAGUCAAUUUACCCCAUACCAUAACCGGCCCUCUUUUCUUAACCUAGAUGUGGACUUGCACCCAAAUUAUUCAGGAGCAACACGUGUUCAGUUCCAACAUUCACUCUAAGCAUGAUCGAGACGUACUAACGUAAAUCCGUGUACUAAAUACUAUAGUGCGUACUACUCCCUCCGUUCCUAAAUAUAAGUCUUUGUAGAGAUUUCAGUAUUAACCACAUACGGAUGAAUCUAGAUGCAUUUUAGAGUAUAGAUUCACUCAUUUUGCUCCGUAUGUGGUCCAUAGUGGAACCUUUCCAAAGACUUAUAUUUAGGAACGGAGGGAGUAGGUUCCGACUGAAAAUUAACCAGUAUUACUAUUUCUUAGCGAAUGAAAGAAGCUAGUCGUCAUUACUCACGGAGGAAGCAUGUUUCGAUACUUGAUGAAUCCACAGCAAACCGGUCUCGAAUUUCAAAUACGCAGUAAGAAUCUAGCGGACAGGGGGCAAAGCGGACCUACGGAGGGCCGGAGAACGGAGAAAGGCGGCGCCGCCCGCCCGCUGCGGCCUUGGACGCUGCCGCCGGGACGGAGCGCGGAGGCCAGAGGGGCACGGAACGAAGGCAGCACGCCGGAUGCCUCCGCCGCCGCGCCGCCGGCCGCCGCGGCCGUGCCGUGUCUAGGGUUCCAAUUUAGCGGAGGAAACGCCGAAGUGGUCUGCGACUCCCUCCGCCACCCGAGCGCACUUUGGGCGGCCCAGAGCGGGCGCCCCUUUUUUCUUUUCAUUUUUCCGUUUUUCUUCUCUCUUUUUGUUUUCGUACGUACAUCAUUAAAAAUCGUUUGGGAUUUACAAAACAAUCGAUCCCAAAUGUUUGGAUGUUUGAAUUACAAAAAACUGUUUUAUGAAUUUGGUAAAAAUCAUUUGAAUUGCAAAAAUGUUCACAAACUCGAUUUUUUUAUAUAUUUUAAAAAACUUCACAAAUUUUAAAAAUAUACCCGGGUUUAACAAAAUUGUACAUGAAUUUGAAAAAAAUCAGGUUUUUACAAAUGUUCAAGAAUUUGAAAAAUGAUCCCGCAUUUCCAUGAAUCUAAAAAAUGUUCUAAGGGUUUUAAAAAUUAUUCACAAAUCUGAAAAUUUUAUUCCUCCAUUUUUUAAAUGUUCACAAAUUUGAAAAUGGUCCUAGAUUUCAAUAAAUGUUAAAAUCAUAAAUGUUUGUGAAUUGGAAAAAUGUUCCUGGAUUUCAAACAAUAUUCGUGAAUUUUAAAAUUGUUCCCGUAUUUAAAACAACAUUUCAAAUUUCAAUAAAUAUUCACAAAUUUUGAAAUUGUUCCCAUAUGGAAAAAAGGAAAACCACAAAUGAAACAAGAAAAAACAAAAUAUAAAAACACAAGAGUAAAAAAUUACCCGAUCUAUAUAGAACCUUGUCAAAACCGGAAGGGAAGUGUCCUUAAACAGUUCUACCGAUGACUAAAAUGGGUCGACCCAGAUAAGAGAGGAUGCGACGCGGGGGUACGCGUUACAUGUCUAUCCACCGAGCUACACACUAAAAUGGUCAUGAUUGUCUCACUUCACCAGGUUUUCGAGCUCCAAUGACGUGCUUGUUUGCUCUUCUGCUUCCCUUGACCUUCCUCUUCACCCUCGCCUUUCGUCUAUGGUGCCUAUAAGCUAGUCUUUGGUUACCCUUAAUUCGCAAUAGCAACCUUCGAGUUUCACAGCUUCAUGAUUGAUGUAAGCUAUACCGAGAAGACCAACACAAUGUUUUUUUCUCUUCUUUUGACUUUUUUCUCAAUACAUCAUGAUAAAUGGCAUUACAAUAAUUUUGGAGUACACAAUAUAUCUAUUUUUACUUUUGUUUUUUUGUCUAUGGAAAUGGAUCCCAAAACCUCCAACCACCUAGAUAGGAGUAUUCGGAGUAGAAUGAAACCAAAUCAUAGCGACUAAAUCAUGGGGUGGGGUCUUUGCCGAAGCCCAUGAGAACAUGAGUGAGCAGCAUGGCUCCCCGGCGGCUCGUCUGCGCCAGCCGUCCCAACAACGGGAAGCUCACCGUCUCCCUGUUCUUGAGAGGCUUCUUGUCCCACCUGCAUAUGCAUUAUAACAAUUAACACACUAACUAGCUAGAUGGUAGCAUCUCGAUGAUUAGGUUUGGUGACAGAAAACAUCGAGCUUGUUGUAGCUUACCAGUCCUGGUGCCUGACGACCUUGCCAUCCUCAACGUCGAGUGUGAUGAGGGACUCUAGGUCAACAUCCUUGCCAAAGACCUUGUAGUGUUGCUUGUUGUCUAUCAGUAUCUGCAGUCAUGCACCACCCAUUGUAUUGAUAUUCCGAUCACGUUUGUAAAGUAUGUUCAUCGUUACUAUACAAAGUAUAUGCGUGGCUACGAUCGAAUGCAGAAGGGUGAUGUCCAAAUGAGUUGAUUACCUGGGAUUUCCCCGGUCCGGUCGCGUUUUCCUUUAUCGUGUACUCUACGAUCUUGGACUCACCGAAUACCUGACGACGCACGAGUCUUUGGAUUAGUUUAUGCAAUAACAUCGAAUGUAUAUCAAAAAGAAAGAAUAAACACCCAUGAAUAAAGCAUAUGAAGGUGCAUAUGUACCUUAGGCAUCGUGUAGAAGGCUGAUUUGAUCUGCUUGACGCUGCGAUCAGAUCGAACAGAAUUCGAUUAAAGAAGGCACAUGGAUGAUGGAUCAUAUGGAGAAGAAAUUCAGGCAACAACAAACUCAAUUGCAUACCCAUGGGCACGCAUAAGCGGGUCCUCGAACGUGGCAUUGGGCGCGUACAUCUCGAAGUCCCGUGCCGUGGCGCAUGAUCCGUAUCUGCGGUGAUUUGCCAUGAGCGCCGCGGUGAAAGACUAUUGAAAAAAUUACAUAACUACGGAAUGAUUCGAAAAAUAGUGGAGCUGGAUAAUUAUGUAGGUAUAUAUAUAUAUACUCCCAAGUUCAUUGGAGAGAUAAAUCAAUUAGCAAUUACUCGUAUUUGACCGUGCAUGGUGAAUUGCUUGCUCAACUUAACUGAACAAUGAGCAAUUAUCAAUUACAGUAGCAAUUUGGCAGUGCAAGCUGAACUUUUGCGUUUCUGACAUUGAAUCGAAGCGUAUAAAUAAAGUUAAGCUGGGACGCAUGGACAACACAAGCAGAGCAAUAGAGCAGAGCAGAGGUUGAUUUGAGCAGUUAGUAGUUACAUGUUGAGGAGAUGCGGCAUGAUGCGCUCGGACACGCCCCCGCCCGCCGCCGCCUGCGUCGACGCCUUCGCUCCCGCGGCCGCCGCCAUGCCUGCCGUCGUCGAGAGCGAUCUCUGCCUCGCGGGCGCGAGGGCAGCAGAAGCAGCGGCUGCGCGGAGGAAGAGGGCAGACGGGGCGGACGGCAGGAGCAGUCGCAGUCGGGAGGCGGAGGUGGCGCAGAGAGCGGGGGAUGGCAUGCGAUGCGAGCAGACGCGCGCGCGGUGGUGAGGAGAGAAGGCGAAACAGGGGAGGGUACCUUGGCUAGCUAGUUGUAGACGAAAGGGAAAGGGUGGAGUUGAAAUGUACUAGUUGCAGUAGCAGAGCCGCGUCCGUUCCUUGGUUGACGGCGUGCGCGGCGGAGGACGGCGCCACGUCGGCCGGCCGAUCUGGUGGCGGGCACCGCCUCCACGACGCCGAGCGGCCACGGCCAACCUCGUGUUCGGGCCUAUCAGCUCGCUGACCGGGGGUUCUCAAGGCCUACUAAUAACAGGUGCAUCCCAUUCAAUUAAGCUGCGCUUUAGCUCGCUAGGCCUGGCAUAAUUUCAUGUUUUUUUGCUUUCUUUUUUUCGUUUGUACUUCCAAAUAUACUAAAUAAAUAUAUUACAAGCAACACUUUCCAUACAAAUAUUUGAAAAUAUAUUAACGUAGCAUUUGAAAAAAUGUUAAAUUUGUAUAAAGAAAAAAUGUUUCCCAUGUAUACACAAAUUUUAGAAUGUGUGUGAAAAAAAGUUGAUUAUAUAAUUAAAAAAUGUUUAUCAAGCCUUUGAAAAAUGUUGAAUAAGUAUAUGAAUUUUCUUAAUCAAGCAUUUGAAAAAGGGUUUAACGUUUAUAGACAAGGUGUUGACCAUGUAUUCAAAAAGUAUUUAACAUGUAUUUAGAAAAUCUUAAGCAAACAUUUAAAAAUGUUAAAUGUGUAUUAAAAAAAUCUUGACCAUGUAAUCAAAAAAGUCAAUGUUGUAUUGAAGUAAAAAAUGUUAAACUUGAAUUUGAAACAUUGUAAUCAAGCAACAAGCGUUAAAUUUAUAUAGGAAAAUUGUAGACCAUGUAUUAAAAAUUAGUUGAUCUUUCAUUUUCAAAAAUGUCCAUCAUGCAUUUGAAAAAAAAUGUGUAUAGAAAAAAUGUUGACUAUGCAUUAAAAUGUUAAUCUUGAAUUAAAUCUUUUUAAUUAAGUAUUUUAAGAUUUUAAAAAUGUGUAUAAAAAUAUUGACCAUGUAUUCUAUAAAUGUUGAACUUGUAUUGAAAAAUAUUAAUCUUUUACUUAAAGCGUGUAUAGAAAAAUGUUGACCAUAUAUUCAUAGACCGAGGAAGAAACAAAGAAAAAGAUACAAUAAUGAUGAAAACCAACAAAGAAAGAAAAUAAAAACGAAGAUAGAAAACCAGAAGUGAAAGAAAAGCAAAAACCCAUCAAAACCAAGAAAGAAACAAAGAAAUACAAGAAAAGGCAGUGAAAUCUGUGAAAAACAAAGAAAACAGGUGGAAAAUAACGUAGGAUUGAAGAAAACCGUUCAAGAAAUAGAGAAAACCGAGAAAAAGGAAACGAAAAGGGAAAAACCCUGGAAGAAACCACCAUGAGCGAUCAUCUCGAUCGGAAAACAACAAACGAAAAAACAGAUGAAAAACGGGACACCCUAGUUCUGUAGCGGGUGUGAAAAUGUGUCAGGCGAGACAGAAGAAACACCCGCUAUAAACAAGAUACAGCCUUUGCGGCGCCUAUACCUCGCUUCAGGUUGGAGCGCUCGCCUCAAGCGCAUACGCGAAUGGUCCGGCCAAGCGCGGGGGGCAUGAAGCUCUCAUUUUUUCGCGUUUUUGGUUUUUGUGUUCUGUUUUCAUUUUUUACUUUUAUUUAUAUUUACAAAUAUAUAUAAAAAAUUAAUGUUAAUCAAGCAUUUAGAAAUGUUAAACAUGUAUAAAAAAUGCUUCUAAUGCAUAAAAAAUGCAGAAUGUUUAUGAGAAAAGUUGACAUCAAUAUAUACGUUUGAAAGUAAUCAUGUAAUGGAAAAAUGUUAACACGUAUGUAAAAAGAUAUUUUUAAUGUAUAAAAAUGUACAAGGUGUGGGGAAACAAGUAGACAUCAAAAAUAAAUAUUUUAAAAAUUGUUAAUCAUACAUUAGAAAAAUGUUAAACAUGUAUAUAAAAAAUGAUGCUGAUGUAUAAGAAAAAUGUAAAAUGUGAUUCAAAAUAUUUGUUUGAGAAAAAAUGGUAAUCAUGUAUUGAGUAAUGUUAAAACGUAUAUCAAUUUAUUUUAUAUGUGUACAAAAAAUGUAUAAUGUGUGUGAAAAAACAAAUCGGCAACAAAAGAUAUAUUUCAAAAAAUCUUGAUAAUAUAUUUGAAGAAUGUUAAAGGUGUAUACCAAAAAAUUUGACUUGUGUAUUUGAAAUAAUGAUGACCAUGUAUUCAAGAAAGUGUUCAAAAAACAUGUAUCAAAAGAAAACACUAUCUGAAAAAAUGUUCGACGUGUAAAAAAAAUACAUUGUGUAUGAAGAUAAAAAAAUGUAUAUUGUGUACCAAAGGAAAUUACACAUGUGUAUGAAAAGAACAACGAUAGAAAUAGACAAAGAAACAUAAAGAAAAGCAAACAAAACGUAAAGAAAAAAGGAAGAAAGAUCAUAAGACUACACAUGUCGUAGAUUUCCUAAACAAUAUGUGUUACCUAUGUAGGUCUUGAGAUCAUGUUGCAUGGGCCCUUAAAUUGGACAACACGUAUAGAGUUCACCAUAGUAUAACAACUUACUAUACAGAUCAUAAGACUACAAACACAAAUGACGACAUAUAGACUAGGCACAAAUGAAUCUUACCACUCACCUACAUCUCCCACGCCGAGGGGAACUACUCACGCAUCAUAAGAAAAUAACCAAUCAUCUCAGGGGAUAAAACCAACAGAAAUCAUAUCAAUAACACCCGGAAGAUCCACAAUGAAAUGAAUGAUCCAAAUAGUCUUGAUCUCCAGAUGAGUGUGAAUAAAUUUUACAACUUGUUCUUACAAAUUGGAAUUCCUCUUACAAUAGUGAAGGAUGAAAUGAUGAUGGACAUGAAAGGACCAAAACUAAGAUCUCCGAUGGUUCUCCGGACUUCUUCUCUCUCUGUUCUGGUUGUGGUGGCGGCGGCUAAGGUUCUCCACUAUGUCUUUCCCCUUCAUGAGAGUGUCUCGUAUAGAUGUUGUGGAGCUCCUGGUGCCUCAUACGACCAUCCAUGUGAGUGGGUGUGCUCGCAUGGAAGGUUGUCUUUUGCUCUGCCGCACCUGGUGGCUUGGCCUCUAACACGGAAGUUGCUCCAUUUCAAUUAAAGGUCUAGUGGCUUGAUCAUUCUCCUUGGUUUCGUUCCAUAUAUUAUAUUUUCUGCCAAACAACGGAAAAACGGAGUUUCUUCUCAUUUGAAGGGUUAACGUUAGAAAUAACCGAGAAGAGGUAUGAAUCCGGUGAAAACCAAGUAAAAAUCACUUGCAAAUAAUCACAAAUUCUCGAUCCAUCAACUCCCUCAAGGUUAAAACUAGCUCGCCCUCGAACAACUAAGAAAUCAAGAGAAUGAAGUCGAUAUUCUUAUAAGAACAAAUGUGAACAUGAGUUUUGGAAGAGAAGAAAACAUGAUACUCAAACAUUUAUUCCUCCAAAUAAUUAUAUCAAUCGGUAGCAUCAAGACAAUCAAAUUUAAUACUAUGUAGUUGAAGAGCUUGGGUGAUGGUUCUCUUCGAAAAUCCGAGGCAGUAAGUAUUUCAAAUUUUGAUUUUUGGAGGAAAAUCAUGCUUCACAACAAGUUUCACUUGCAUAUGUGAUGAGAGGUACGAACAAAUUUAAUGCAAACUUAUUUUUUCGCUCUUCCAGUCCUAAUUUUUUGAAAAAUUCCGCGGAAACCGUAUCAUAUAAUGUACUAACUUGUUUUUUUUCUUCUAUCUUAGUGCCCACUAAUUAUGAUUCAUGUAGUUUUUCUCUUCAGAUCGAUUCAAAUGGGGUCGGCCAAACAUGCUUGAGUCGUAGAGCGAAUUAAAAUAAAUAAAAAAGUUAUACCAAACAUUUGUACUUAUUUAAGUGUAUUUUUAUUGUACUAGAACAAUGCCCGUGCGUUGUAAUGGGAUAUAAAUAUUCUAAUACGUUGGCUUGUGGUUUAUCUAUCAAUAAUAAUGCUAAAUGUUCAUCAAAUUGACUAUGAAUUACCUUAUAUUUUGAUUAAUAGUUUGGUAAGAAAAUUAACGUGAAAUUGGUUCAAAAGGUAAGUAAAUUAAGGUGAUUGAUUAUCAUAUACAUGGAAGGUUGGACGAAGGGAUGGUGGAAAGAAAGGUGAAAUGGGAACCUUACAUUCUUUUUAAAUAUUAGAGAGUAGAGAUUACAGUGUUGGCGAGUAUAAUUUCUAUCACGUAGUUCACAUAGUUAAGCAUAUAAUAGUAUUUUUGUGUGUGCAACCACGUAACAAUGUUGUUAAAUAUUAAUUGUAGUGUUCUCUGUUAUUAGUUCGAAUGUAUUUUACUUAAAGCUUCAUUUCAGCUAAAUUUAAAUUGUGUGAUUCAAUAAAAUUAACCUUCCAAUUACUUUUGACAAAUACAUACUUCAUAUGAUGCAUAUGUAUAUUUUUUAUGCGUAUGUCUUCAUGUAUAUUAUAUCAGUAACUAUCUUGGUUGCGAUCUCUAAAGUGUAAUAUCUUUUACUAAUGGUUUCUAAUGUAUUGUUAGGUAAACAAAUGUAUAGAAUAUUCUAGAGUAUAAAUUGAAUUGUUUGUAAAUGUGAUACAAGUUAUGUUCAGCAAUAAGUUCACAAUAUGUGCAUGCUAUUUACAUGACAUUGAAAUACUAUCGAUUACCGGCGAGCAUAACAUGUUCCCGGUUCAAUUUUGCAUACAUUUUUAUUUUAUUUUUUAGUCUUAUCUAGAAGCCUGAUUUCUUCUUAUGUAUGUAGGCCCUCCUGCUAAUUUUCAAAAAAUAAAAGGUUUUGCACAAAAUUAAACACAGUAAGCUAGUUAAUAUAAAUUUUAGUACAACUGGCCGCACGUCUAUAUAUGUGAGAGACAAUGGUAAGCUCACUAAAUUUAUUGUCUCCUACAAGAUAUGGUUGUUCCUAUAUGGUAACAUCAUUGGUUCGUUGUGUGGACUUGCUCCUACAAAUUUUGGACUUUAAUUUUUUAAGUUUAUACUACAGUAAUCUUUUAGAUUUAACGAUAGUAGUAUACGGCCCUACUCCCCUGAGGCUCGGAGUGGUCGCCCUUUUUGCCCGGCCUAGGAUCCAGAUCUUAAACAAGAAUCAAGUUACAUGGAAGUGCAAAGCCAAGUCCACACACCUUCUCCAUUCUCACUAGUAUAAUUAUCAUGAGGCACCAAACAAGGGGUUGGGAUUAAAAGUCUAUUUUCCACAUCUAAAUCCCCUAGCAAACUCUCACCAUCAAGUCCCAUUCUGUUACAAGCAGUAUAAAAUUUGUCAUUAAUUUAAUUCCUCUCAUUAGUACGUACAGGAGCAGAAUAAACAUGCACAUGCAUUUCUUCAAAAGCAUGCAGACUAGUUCCAAUAAGGAACACAUCAAUAGCAGAAAACCAUUUAUAAUUAGAAUGCAAAGAACAACAUUACAUGAAGCGCUAGAACUGUCUACCAGGCUAGUGUCGACAGAGCAGUAAUACACGUACAUUAACAAAGUGCUACAGAAGCUACCGCACACAACAGACGUGGCUAAACACACUAGUGGCAGGAAAAACAGAACGUACUAUAAAACACUAGAAGGACCUUGUAUGAAAACGGCUAGAGCAUAUACAGAUUAAUCUAGUAUGAGCAAAGACCAGAUGCAACUUACAGACUAGACGUCGUUGCACUGGUGUUCGUCGAUGGAGUUUGCCGGAGACGAUGUUGUCGUGGACGUCGCCGAAGCAGCGGUCAUCGAGGACGUUGACGAAGGAGCGGUCGCGUGGACGCUGCCCAGAAAACUCUAGACCGCCCCCGUGCAGGGUAGAAGGAUGCGGUCGGAGUCACGGAGACACCACUCGCGGGGUUGUCAUUGCACGGUGGACAUCACAACCGGCUUCGUUCAGAAGGUUGCUCAGCACAAUGUCUAGUCGUUGCUUGAAGGAAUGCAUUACUACAAAUUCAAUGCUCUCAAGAUGUUGAAUGCAUUACGAAGAAAUGGACUGAGUACACAUUCAGUGCUCUCAAAAUGGAGAUUUUAUACAAGCAUUGCUACAACAUGUACAACCAGCCGCUCGAGGAUGACCCGUGAGCGCUACUCAUUUCUUUCUUUAUGUGCACAGCCCGCACGCUAAAUGUCCUACCUAACCCCUACUAUGGUUUUGUGUUUGCUCAGUACUCAGCUCGCAAAGGCGUGUCAGACCACAAAUUUCUUGCAUGAGGUCCUAAAGAGCAAAUACUUUCCACAAGAGACAUAAAUUAAGUUGGUCGUGACAACGUCAUUUCGAAAAGAAUCUGUUCCACAUGAAACAGAAACCGAUCAAGAGGUAAGUUCUAAAAGUGGUUGGUUAUCUAGACAGUACUAAGCCAAAUCUAUUUAGCAGUGGUAGUUUCUAAAUAAUAGUAAACCAAAUCUACUCAUCAACACUAGAUUUUGGCCAAUCUAUAUCUAUACCUACUAAUAAAGCAAGGUGCAUUUCUCCAAUUUUCCAUUCGUUCACCACCGAAAAUAUUCUUUUAAUAUCUGAGGUGGUACUAAAUUUUUGUGGUCCAUCUACUAGGAAAAAAAGAGUUCUGUCCAGAAUUUUGCACGUGGGCCCACCCGCGCUAAGGCCCAGAGAAUCCACCCAUUUAUAUCCUGCCCACGCAGCAGGGAAACCAUAUUUCUCGCACAGGGCGGCACAUAGUUUGAACUUCGCAUUGGUCGCCUAAUGUUGGGCCGACCCAUUUUCUAUUUUUCUGUGUUCUUUUCCUACUUUCUUUUUUCUUUUUCCCUUCCAAGUUAUUUUUUCGUUUUCCCUAUAAAUUUGUUAUUUUUAUUUUUAUUUCAUAAUUUCGUUUUUUUAAACAUUUUCGUUAAAUCUUCAGAAUUUCAAAUUUUGUUCUGAUUUUCAUAAAUAUUUGAAACUUUAAUCUUUUUUCUCGUUCCAAAUUGGUUCAAAAUUCAAAAAAUGUUCAUAUUUCUUAAUAAAAACCAAAAUUGUUUGAUAAUUUUAAAAUAAAUUGUAUUUUUUAAAAUAAUAGAAAUUCAAAAAAUAUUCCUUUUUAUUGAAAUGUUAACAAAUUCAAAAUAAUGUUCAUGAUUAAAGCGUGUUUCUGAAAAUGGUUUUGAAUGUUCAAAACAAGUUUCCAUUUUCAAAAUUGUUCACAAAUUCAAAAAAUGUCCGUUUCUCGGCCUUAAAAAUGGUUCCUGUUUUCAAAAAAUGUUUGUGAAAUUAAAAAAGAUCUUCCUAUUUCAAAUUUUGUUUGCCUUUUUCCAGAAAUUAGCAAUUUUUUUCAACAAAAUGCUCGUUUUUUAUAAUAAAAUCAGAAGGCCACCACAACCUCGACAAGGAGGUGGACCUGAAGGGAAAAAAGGCACGAGUUGGGUAGUGGCCGCCACUCCGACCAUCCCCACUACUAUAAAGAUCUCACAGGCCAAACAUUACCCGUGAAAACACUACAGCUCUACGCUUUGUUGCCCCACUGUUGUGGAAACCGUUUUGAUGGACACAUCAAUUAUCUCUCCCGAUGCUUCUCACAAAAAAAUCUCUCCCGUUGCAACGCAUGGGCAUAUGUGCUAGUAUAAAUAAAUUCAUGUGGGUUGGGGGGAGGGGGCAAUGCCCCCCCCCCCCGCCCUCAACAUAGCUCCGCCACUAGGGAGGCGUCGAUUAGGAGGUAUCUAGUUUACCAUACCCUCCUGAGAUUCCAAGAUGAUGCUUUUCGUUAUUAUGUAGAUCAAAGCCACUUUGCUUGCUAUUCGUAACACAAGACGCCUGCCAUGGCCCACGGACCAUGAAAUAAAAGCCAAUGCAGAUAUUCUUCACUGGCUCCAAGCAACGGUUGGGUUUCAGCUAACCUUUUGCUUUCAUUACUAGUAAACAUGCAUGUGCGUUGCAACGAGACAAACAAACUCUCGCACCUAGUGAGUUUGCGAAUAUUCAAAGUCGUGGACGAGCUCGCCUGGUCUUGGUAUCGUGAGGCGUCGACUCGUUUCGGGAUACCGGACGCCAUGGUAUUCUAGGUCGUGUACAGGGGCUUAUGUAAUGCAUAUAUUGGACCAAAGAGACGACGUUGUACAGUGGAUGGCAAGGAACGUUGCAGAGCUAGUGACGGUGUUUUGGUUCUGUGUACAAUAUAUUUUGGAGGGUUUGGCUGGUAUGGUCGUUGGGGCUGAUCACAUAUAGGUCUGCGAAACAAAAGCAUAUACUUUUUAUUAGACUAGAACAAUGUCUGUGCGUUGCAACGGAAUAUAAAAAUUCUAGUUAUGUUAACCUGUGAUUUACCUGUCCAUGAUAUACGAUUGUGUAAAUAAAUGUUCAUCAAAUCCCGCAUGUGAUUUACCUUAUAUUUGGUCAGAAGUGAUUUACAUGCCUAUAGUAUGCGAUUCCGUAAAUAAAUGUUCAUCAAAUUCUGCCAGUGAUUUACCUUAUAUUUUGAUCAGAAGUUUGGUAAGUAAAUUAAAAUGGAAUUGGUUCAGAAGGUAAGUAAAUUAAUACGAUUGAUUAUUAUACGGGGAAGGUUGGACGAAGGAGUGGUGAGAAAAAGGUGAAACGAGAACCUUACGUCCUUUCAAGUAGUAGAGAUUUAGCUUAUAUUUUGAUCAAAAGUUUGGUAAGUAAAUUAAAAUAAAAUUGGUUCAGAAGGUAAGUAAAUUAAUAUGAUUGAUUAUUAUACAGGGAAGGUUGGAUGAAGGAGUGUGAGUAGAAAGGUGAAACGGGAACCUUACGUUAUUUUUAAGUAAGUAGAGAUUUAGCUUAUAUUUUGAUCAAAAAUUUGGUAAGUAAAUUAAAAUAAAAUUGGUCCAGAAGGUAAGUAAAUUAAUAUGAUUAAUUACGGGGAAGGUUGGACGAAGGAGUGGUGAGAAGGAAGGUGAAAGGGUAACUUUACAUUCUUUUUAAGUAGUAGAGAUAGAGAAGUAGAGAUUUAGCUUGUAUUUUGAUCAGAAGUUUGGUAAGUAAAUUAAAAUAAAAUUGGUUCAGAAGGUAAGUAAAUUAAUAUGAUUGAUUAUUAUACGGGGAAGGUUGGACGAAGGAGUGGUGAAAAGAAAGGUGAAACGGGAACCCUAUAUUCUUUUUAAGUAGUAGAGGUAGAGAUAGAGAUACUAUAGUAAUCUUUUAUAUUUAACGAUAGUAGUGUACGGCCCUACCCCCUUGAGGCUCGGGGUGGUUGCCCUUUUUGCCCGGCCUUAGGAUCCAGAUCUUAAACAAGAAUCUAUUUACAUGAAAGUGCAAAGUCAAGUCGGCACACCUUCUCCAUUCUCACUAGUAUAAUUAUCAUGAGGCACCAAACAAGGGGUUGGGAUUAAAAGUCUAUUUUCCACGUCUAAAUCCCCUAGCAAACUCCCACCAUCUAGUCCCAUUCUGUUACAAACAGUAUAAAAUUUGCCAUUAAUUUAAUUCCUCUCAUUAGUACGUACAGGAGCAAAAUAAACAUGCACAUGCAUUUCUUCAGAAGCAUGGAGACUAGUUCCAAUAAGGAACACAUCAAUAGCAGCAAACCAUGUAUAAUUAGCUUGCAAAGAACAACAUUACAUGAAGCGCUAGAGCUGUCUACCAGGCUAGUGUCGACAGAGCAUAGGGCGCUGAACACACACUAGUGGCAGGAACAACAGAACAGACUCUAAAACACUAGAAGGACCUUGUAUGGAAACUGCUAGAGCAUACACAGAUUAAUCUAGUAUGAGCAAAGACCAUAUGCAACUUACAGACUAGACGUCGUUGCACAGGUGUUCGUCGAUGGAGUUUACCGGAGACGAUGUCAUCAAGGACGUCGACGAAGGAGCGGUCGUCGAGGACGGUGACGAAGGAGCGGUCACAUGGACGUUGCCUAGAAAACUUUAGACCGCCCCAUGCAGGGUUGAAGGAUGCGGCGGAAGUCACAGAGACACCGCUCACCGGAUUGCUGUUGCACGCUGGACAUCACGAUCGGCUUCGUUCAGAAGGCUGCUCAGCACUAGUGGUGCACGAGAAAGAAGAUGAAGAUAUGAUGUGUUUAUCUCCCGAUUCUCUCUGCACUUUUAGCAUAAUUGGUUUGAUGCCAAAAGUUGGCAUGCCAAAUUUUAGCAGAUGCCAAAUAUUGGCUAGAGAUUGGUUGCUUGCCAAUUUUCAUUGUCAAUCUCACAAAAAAUUGCCAAAUGUUGGCAACUUCUAAUUUUACCAAAUGUUGGCUUGCCAAAUAUUGGCAAUGCCAAAUGUUAGUAGCAAACCAAUUAUGUACAGAUUAUGCGAGCAACGUUUUAAUGAAACGUCUUGCCGAGCGAAGAGCGUUGCACUCACACGUCCUGGUUGAGGACCCAGGGAGGAGUUGCAGCUUGACGAACGGCCAGCAACGUGCGUGCAUGGAGUUUCAGUUUGUUACGUGACAGGAUAUGCUCAAGCAUUUUGCCGCAAAAAAAAAAAAAGGAUAUGCUCAAGCAUCAGACUGGGAAUUAUCUGAACUGAUGCAUGUGUCCAUGCAAUAUUUCCAACUCAUUUCUGUUCCCUAAGAGUAUGAAACACGCAGUGAAGAAUGCAGUGCAUAGAUUUGAGUUUUCCUUUUUUUUUAAUAGGAGUACUUCUUAAGCAUGAAAUAUGUUCUACUCCCUCAGUUUGGAAUUUUCUUGUUAGGAAUAUAAUAGUAUUAGUAUUUGGCUAAUUAGGCGAUUAGCAGAUUCUUUAGAAUAUUCUAACCGGUAGUUAGAAUCCUGGCGUUGUCCAGACGCAGUAGAUAGCGAACCAUCGCCAUGUUUUUUUCAAACCAGCGUUGUGUCUUUCCGAAACGACGCGAACCUUGUAAUCGGCAUGUAAACACGACGGCUCGGGACAUAUAAGUACCUGCAGUCACUAUCAAUGAAAUCAAUCCUUUCACUUCAAUCUUUCUUGUUUCUCUUCAUUUCUCAUCUAUUUCCGUGACAAGUAAUUGAGGGAGUCGGUGGCUUUGCUGCAAAACUGAAGACUGGCACAAGAUCCGUGUACACGGCGUAGCACAUUCCGGGACGAUACCGCAUAUGUGCGAAUGUGCGAUUACUUAUCAAUCCCGACCCCAUUUGCCUCGUCUCCUUUCUUCUUCUUAUUAAAAGCCAUUUUGGUUACGGAUGGAUAUGAGAAGAAAAAUUUAGAGCCUUGCGUGCCCACACCGCCCUUGACCACACCCCACCACCAACCGCCCUCCCCUUGGCGAUCCCCACACACUUGCCCAACCAACCACACUUGUCCCACGCCUCUCCUCCUCCUCUCCUCUCGCCUUGUACGAGUCUCACCUUGCUGCGUCCAUCCACCCACCGACCAUCCACCACUUCCCCCAAAGUCUCCUCCUUUCUCCCUUCUCAGCCAAGCAACCAAGCGAUCUCGCCGAUGAAGAGGGAGGGGUUCCAGCACGGCGCCGUCCGGGUCAACCGCAACAAGCUGCUGCGGGUCGCCGGCGGCACCAACGGCGACGCGGCGGCCGCGGCGCUGGAGCUCGCCGGCGUCGCCUACGCCAGGGCGCCGUCCAAGCCGACCAACGCGUCCAGGGACACGGGCCGGUGCCGGCGGCCCCGGUGCGCCGGCUGCCACGUGCACCCCGCCGCCAAGGCCCGGGACAAGGCCAAGGGCGCCCACAAGCUGCGCGCCUCCGACGUCGCGCUCAACCACCGCCUCGUCUCCUGGCGCCUCGUCGACGGGGACCCCGCCGCCGCCGCCGCCCGCACCGGCGGCGUGCCCGACUACAAGGGCGCCUCCGCGUCCGCCGUGCUCGCCUACCUCGCCGGCGGCAACAGCUGGCACGCCGAGGACGAGGAGGAGGACGAUGACGGCGCAGAUCUUCAGGCCCCCCCAAGGGGGAUCUCCGACCUGUACGACCUCAUCGUCGGCCUCCAGGCCCGCGCGGCCCCUGCGCCGGGCGGCCCAGAAGACGAC